UCGAGAGUUUGAUCCUGGCUCAGGAUGAACGCUGGCGACAUGCUUAACACAUGCAAGUCGAGGGGUAUAGUUCUUCGGAGCUAGAGACCGGCGCACGGGUGCGUAACGCGUAUGCAAUCUACCUUUUACAGAGGGAUAGCCCAGAGAAAUUUGGAUUAAUACCUCAUAGUAUGUGAGAAUCGCAUGGUUUUUCACAUUAAAGUUCCAACGGUAAAAGAUGAGCAUGCGUCCCAUUAGCUAGAUGGUAAGGUAACGGCUUACCAUGGCGACGAUGGGUAGGGGUCCUGAGAGGGAGACUCCCCCGACACUGGUACUGAGACACGGACCAGACUCGUACGGGAGCAGCAGUGGGGAAUUUGGACAUGGACGCAAGUCUGAUCCCAGCCCAUUCCGCGUG
rnacentral:rRNA from 1 species